GACGAACGCUGGCGGCGUGCUUAACACAUGCAAGUCGAACGGAGAGGCCCUGCUUUUGUGGGGUGCUCGAGUGGCGAACGGGUGAGUAACACGUGAGUAACCUGCCCUUGACUUUGGGAUAACUUCAGGAAACUGGGGCUAAUACCGGAUAGGAGCUCCUGCUGCAUGGUGGGGGUUGGAAAGUUUCGGCGGUUGGGGAUGGACUCGCGGCUUAUCAGCUUGUUGGUGGGGUAGUGGCUUACCAAGGCUUUGACGGGUAGCCGGCCUGAGAGGGUGACCGGCCACAUUGGGACUGAGAUACGGCCCAGACUCCUACGGGAGGCAGCAGUGGGGAAUAUUGCACAAUGGGCGGAAGCCUGAUGCAGCAACGCCGCGUGAGGGAUGACGGCCUUCGGGUUGUAAACCGCUUUCGCCUGUGACGAAGCGUGAGUGACGGUAAUGGGUAAAGAAGCACCGGCUAACUACGUG
rnacentral:rRNA from 1 species